rnacentral:rRNA from 1 species
CCUACGGGCGGCAGCAGUGAGGAAUAUUGGUCAAUGGACGAGAGUCUGAACCAGCCAAGUAGCGUGAAGGAUGACUGCCCUAUGGGUUGUAAACUUCUUUUAUAAAGGAAUAAAACGAGGCACGUGUGCCUUUUUGCAUGUACUUUAUGAAUAAGGAUCGGCUAACUCCGUGCCAGCAGCCGCGGUAAUACGGAGGAUCCGAGCGUUAUCCGGAUUUAUUGGGUUUAAAGGGAGCGUAGAUGGGUUGUUAAGUCAGUUGUGAAAGUUUGCGGCGCAACCGUAAAAUUGCAAUUGAUACUGGCAGUCGUGAGUACAGUUGAGGUAGGCGGAAUUCGUGGUGUAGCGGUGAAAUGCUUAGAUAUCACGAAGAACCCCGAUUGCGAAGGCAGCUUACUAAACUGUGACUGACAUUGAUGCUCGAAAGUGUGGGUAUCAAACAGGAUUAGAUACCCCAGUAGUC